UUGUCUCAAUGUUCAUAACCUGUCAUGCUGUAUUUAAUGAUAUUUACAACCACUAUGCUGGUUCCUUGUGAGGUUGGAAUGAAUUGGGACGUGUACGGCACCAACCGCUGAAUAUUACUAAGCUUUCCGGCAUUCAGAGUCCGGCAAUCUUGCAGGAACAUCUCUACGCCUUUACUUGGCACACAGCUCAUAUGCUCACCAGUCUGCAUGUACACAAGAUUAGCUGCCUUGAAUGCUGGGGUUAUAACCUGGCGAGGGCAGCGACGUAACUGCCCGCACUUUUACAGCUGUAAGGUUCAUCACCAUGGUCCCAGCCGAGCGGCCUGUGCGCCAUAUGAUUGGUAGCUCAAAUUUCAACACGCCCAUAAUUGCAACGCUUCAAGGCUUAGCUUGCGGCGCAAGGUAGCCGUUCUCGCAAUGCGCUGUUCGUCUUCUUCGUGGCAGUUACGGAUCGCACAGCGCCGCAGCAGCAAGGUAGACAAUUCGCGACCAGUUUCCUCCAGCCCGCAACAGAGAUAAUUUGCUGGUUGUCAAUCCCUUUCCUUAACCCGUACAGCGCAGAACGCGUCUCUGAUUUGCCCGGUUGCUGCACGGAGAUCUCCGCACGGAGGCAGUUUGCAGACGGUUGAAGUUGGUUGGGAGUCCAUAUUUGGAUCUCUCGAGCCGGUUGAUUUGGCAGGUUGGGUCGUAUUCGCUAUACAUGUCUAUCCCGGGGUUGCUUUCCUUAACCCUCCUGGACUGGGCUCUGCCGCUCUCUACGCAGAAACCAGGAUGCUCCUGGUCGGCCGCCAAUCCGG
rnacentral:lncRNA from 1 species